UGCAUGCUGGCUCAGUCUGGAGAGCAUGAGACACUUACUCUCAGGGUCGUGCGUUCGAGCCCCACGUUGGGCAA